rnacentral:lncRNA from 1 species
CCAAAUAUCCUGCUAGAAGCAAUCAGCCCUUGCUAGUGCGACCCGAGGAUCCUGAAUCUGCACAGAAGGUGCAGGGAGUAAUGUGAGUACGCGAGUAAAAGUAGCUGAGAGAUAAGAAAGCACGUAAAAACACAUAAAAAUGCUACAACGCGGCAGUAUAAGAACAAUACAUUGCAAUAAAACAACGAGAAACUUGUACAAAACACCUUAGUUCAGUAGAAACCUCUUUUAGUAGUUAAACAAGUGAAAGAAAAGCAAUGAGGAAAGUCAUAAAAUUAGCCCUCAGGAAAAAGACCAACAGAAUUAGCCUCUCGGGCUAUCUCACAAUUACUCAAAUCAGCUCUUUGGGCAAUAUCAUGAAACAACCUCAGCCUGUCGGGCUAAAUCACAUGACAAACUAGGUACUCGCUCGCUGGGGGUGUACAGACUCCGAGAGAUGCCUCUUACGGCCAAGCACAAUAUCAAUCUAUCUCGUGGCAUAACAACUUAGGCCCUCGGCCUCAUAAUCAUAAAUAAGUACAACACUACUGCAGCGUGCAGCACGAUCCCAUACUAACCGCAACACAGUAAAAUAUGAUGCUCAACUCACAAUAUCAUUUAAGAUGUCAAAACAGAGUAAAGAUGGCUGAGUUAUGAAAAUAGUAGAAUAUAACACAAUUGAAUACAAAUAUAAAGUCAAAAUAGUGAGGGAUAGUAGUAAAAUCUCCUAAGGGUCCAAAAUAGUUGGCACGAGGCCCAAAUAUUGCAUUCAACCCAAAACAUGAUGUUAGCAAACAAUGUUCAAUCAAAUACUCAAUAAAAUAGUCAUUCAGGAUGGACUAAGUCACAAUCCCCAACAGUGCACUGCCCCCAUGCUCGUAAUCUAGCAUGUGCGUCACUUCGAAAUAGCAAAAAAAUGUGAAAUCCGUGAUUUUAUACCCUCAUGACAAUAUUUACAAUUAUUACUCACCUCUAUCCGGUCUAAACUCUAGCCUGCGAUACCUUUGCCCCUCGAAUCAACCUCAACUCGCUUCGAAUCUAUCCAAAAUCAGAAUCAUGAUGUCAAAAUAUGCAAUGGGAAUGAAGCCCAUGCUAAAAUAAUCAAAUUACAACAUAAAUCUCGAAAUUAAUCAAAACACGACCCCCGGACCCAUGUCUCGGAAUUCGAUAAAAUCUGUAUUAAUAAACUACUUAUCCUCCCACGAGUUUAUCCAUAUCAAAAGUACCAAAAUCCCACUAUAAAUGACCUCUCAAACCCUUACUCAAAGGUCUCAAGUCUCAAGCCCUAAUUCCCAAUUUUUAACCCUUAAUUCCCAUUAAUUUCAAGUCAAAUCAGUGAAAUAACACCAUAGAAACGAGUUUAAGGUCCAGAAACAUUACCUCUAUGAAAUCCCUUUUCAAAUAGCUCCCUCAAGCUUAAACCCGCAUGAAAAUGGUGAAGAAUAACUCAAAAAUCGCGAAGGAAACCUUUUAUAUUUUCUGGCCUAGGCUUUUCGCACCUGCGGUCCAAAUUCCGCUUCUGCGCUACCGCUUCUGCGGUCCAAACCACCGCAUCUGCGGUUUUCACUUGAAGUCCAAGUCCCACAUCUGUGAUCACAAUCUCACACAUGCGCUACCACAUGUGUGCUUCCUUAGCUGCUUCUGCGGUUCCAGCUGAUCUUCCCCUUUGGCCGAUUCUGCGCCUUUCUUCUUUAUUCUAUUAUACAACAAAGAUCUCAUUUUGUCACUUCGUUCAAAAAAUAGUUGUACCCGUACAGAAUUAUUCUAUUUCUCAAUAUGAUCUCUAUCAUCAUCUCUAUUCCCCUUAUCAAUUCUCCUAUCCUAUUUGGGGAGCAUGCCCAUCCCAUUAGAUAUCAUUUGAGCUUCCCCUUUCCUAAGAUCCUGGACGUGGUACAGACGGAUGAACUUGGUUACUGGUUUGACCGCUUUGUUGGCAAGUCAAGUAAGGAAAGCUUACCAACCCCACAGCAUAGGUAAUGUCAGGUCUAGUGAUAGUAAGAUAUAUAAGUUUUCCCACAACCCUCUGAUGCCUGCAUCAUCCAAGGGUUCUUUUCUCUUUUCUUCAAGCUUAUGAUUUUCUUCUAUUGGGCUAAUUGUGGCCUUGCAACCUAACAUCCCCGUUUUCUUCAAAUCAAGGACAUAAUUCUUUUGAGAGAUGGAUCUACUUCUAUAGAUCUUGAAAACCUAUGUGCCCAAGAAGUACCUCAGCAUGCUAAGUCUAUGCCGAAGGUGCCACUCAAGUAAGCCUUCAAUCUUGCAAUCUCAUCAACAUCAUCACCAGUGACCACAAUAUUAUAAACAUUUACUAUGGCACCUGUGGCCUCCCAACCGCAGAUGCGGUUAUGACACCAGUCCUAAAACUUUAGCAGCAAAAACCCAACUCAAAUCUUCUGUCAACCAUCCGAUAUCACCCCAAGGCCCUGGGACCUUAACCAAAAGCAUAAACAAGUCAUAUACCACUAUCCAAACUUAUACCAAUCUGCCAAACAGCUCAAAUAACUUGAAUCAACCAAAUCACACAAAAUUCAAUCCUAAGGUUCCAAAUUCUUCCAAAUUUCGCUUUUGAUCAAAAUUUCUGUCAAACCAUGUGCGAAUGACCUGAAAUUUUGCACACACAUCCUAGAUGAUGCAACAGACCUACUGCAACUCCCGGAAUUUCAUUCGAACACAUAUAUCAAAAUCUCACCUAUCAAUCGGAAAAUGCCAAAAUACCAAUUUCGCUAAUUCAAGCCUAAGCCUAUUACGGACCUCCAAAACACAUUCUAAUUAAACUCAUAAGUAACACCAAUCAUCUCCCGAAGCUAUCCAAACUAUCGGAACUCACAUUCGAGACAUUUAUCACAUAAAUCAACAUCCAAUUGACUUUUCUAACUCAAGCUUACUCAAUAGAGACUAAGUGUCUCAAACCUUACCAAAACCUCUCCGAACUCGAGUCAACCAACCCGAUAACACAUAAUAAAGCAGAACAAUGCAAUAAUAAGUGGAAAUGGGGGAAACAGAGCGGUAACUCAUGAAACGACCGGCCAGGUUGUUACAUCUAGACCUCAAAUUGAGGCCGAGUUCCAAAUCCAAUUAUAUAACCGGGCUCGGGGGUGAAUCUAUAAUUAGAUUUUGGUCCGAAAUUUGGGGUUAGAUGAAGCAGGCCCAGGGUCGAUUUUUGACUUUUUGGGAAAAUCUUUAUAAAACCUAUUUUCAUGCAUUAGAAUUGAUUCCAGUAGCAUUUAUUAAUAUCGUUAAGUAAAUUGUGGCUAAAUACAAGCGAAUUGGUGGUGGAAACAAGCUGUAAAGCAGUAGUUAAGGCUUAAAUUGUAUUCGUGGCAUCGAGGUGAGUGUUUGUUCUAACCUUAGCUUGAACGAUUAGGAGUUGAGUCUUAUUUACUAUGUGUUAAUUGUUGAGUACAACGUAUAAGCAUUUCUAUCCGCCCGCGCGCGAGAUCAGAAUAAACAUAGUGAUGAGUAUCUAUACGUUGGUAUCAAGCAUGCCCGUGAGUCUUACUCUAUGAUUAAUGUAACUCCAUUUCAUAUUGUUCCUCUUUUAUAUGAUGAUUUCUAUUUAGGAAUAUGAUUUGUGGAAGUAUUAUUGGUAAUUAAACAGUGUAGAGUGUUUGCUCAAGUUUAGACUUGAAUUGUUGGACCUCGUAAAGUGUUGGCUCAAGUUCUGAAUUGAAUGGAGAAGUAAAUAGGGAAAAACAAAGAGGAGGUUUAAAAUAUUAUCUCCCUUGUCGGUAUGUUAUUGCUUUAAUAUUAUUUCCCUUGCCGGAGAUAUUACUAUUCAUGAUAUUUUUUUCCUUGUCGGGAUAUUGUUGUUACGAUGUUAUUCCCUUGCCGGGAUUGUAUUGAUACAUUAUUGAUUCCCCUGCUCAAUUUGCUUGUGAUUGUCGCUUGGGUGAGGAAGAGUGUAAACCACGAAGGGUGAUUCCGUUUACGAUAUUUAUGAGAGUGUUAAUUCAUGAAUGGUGAUGUCGCGCCGCACGAUGUAUAAUUCUGCGCAAUGAUAUGAGUGAUAAUGCAUGAAGGAUCAUCCCUUGCCAUGAUUAUGUGAGGUAAAAGCACGAAGGGUGAUGCAGUACUGAUUAUACUAAUUCUUAUGGCGAGGACGAGAGUAAAAAAACGAAGGGUAAUGUCGUACAAAUUAUAUUGAUUUUUAUAGUGAGGACGAGAGUAAAAGCACAGAGGAAGAUUCUGUGCACUUUGUCUUUUUUUUCUGAUUCUUGUUAGUAAUUGAACUUUGGUGAUCCGUACAUUUAUUUUUUGUUCUUUUGUUAUGAUUUGAUGUUCCCCCCAGUAUGUUUCCCCCUCCCAUCCUUAACUACACAUUUCUACCUUUAUUAUUCGCUUUACAUUAUUUAAGUACACACGUUUAUUUGGUAGUUUGGCCCUAGUCUGUCACUACUUCACCGAGGUUAGGCGAGGCACUUACCAACACAUGGGGUCGGUUGUGCUGAUACUAAACUCUGCAUUGUAUGCAGAUGCUGUAGUUGCAACUUUUUUGACCAGAGUGAGGGUGUUGUUUUCAGUCCAUUCAGGCAACCCAAGGUAGUCUUGACAGCGUCCGCAGGCCCUGAUAUCUCCUUCUAUCUUUCUAUAUUGUUCUCCUAUGUAUUUCUGAAACAGCUUGUAUUUAUCUUUCGAACCCUUAUUUGUAGCAUUCUUAGAAAGUCUGUGACAUUAUGUCACCAAAUAUUAGGUAGAAUUGUACUUAGACUUCAGCAAUUGUAUUAAUCCAAAAUAUCAAAGUUUGUCUUCCGUACUACUUUGUUAUUAUUAUUUCUACCACUUUUGGUUAUGUUUUUUGGCUUGCUAAGGGAUUAAAAAUAAAAAUGGCUAAAUGAUUGGACUAAUUGUCUUACCUAGCUUUAAUUAGUACGCGCCAUCACAAUGUCCGAGGGUGGGAAAUUCUGGCCGUGACAGUUGGUAUCAGAUCUCUAGGUUGCUUAGGUCUCACAUUUCACGAACAAGCUUAGUAGAGUCUGAGGGAUCAGUACGGAGAUGUUUGUAUUUAUCCCCAGAGGCUACAAAGUUAGGAAAACUUCACAUCAAUUCUUUCCUAUCGUGUGGUUUGGUUUCUCAAUGCUAACUAAAUUUCUACUCUAUAUUUUCACAAAUGGCGAGAACACACACUUCUUCAUCCACCAAUCAGCAGCCCGAGCCUCCAGCAGCAGCUCCACGAGGGGCAGAGAAUGAGGGCGAGGCCUACUAGAGGCCGAGGUAGAGGAAGAGCUCAGCCCAGAGUAGUAGAACCAGCGGCAGAGCCUCAGGUUGAUUUUGAUGAUGAGGUUCCUGCCCAUGCAGUUCCGGUGGGCCUAGCUCAGGUCCCAAAGGGGUUCAUUGCUACCCCAGUGCUCUAGGAUGCUCUUGUCCAUCUAGUGGGCCUUAUGGAGAGCGUCACCAGAUCUGGCUUACUUCCGGUAGCACCAGCUGUCUCUCAAGCCGGGGAGGAGCACAGACUCCUAUAACUUGCACUCCGGAGCAGAUGGCUCCCCAAUUUCAGAAUCCAGUAGCUCAGCAACUUGGAGCAGUUCAACCGGUUUUGGUAGCUCAGACCGGUGAUGGAGCAAUUUGUCUGGUUAUGCCUUGUGGAGAUUGGACAGGUUCACCGAGCUCUUCACUAGUACUUUCAAUGGUGCAUUUUCUUAGGAUCCUCAGGAUUAUUUGGACAUCUGUCAAGAGGUUCUUAGGAAUAUGGGGAUUGUGGAGACAGCCACACCUCCUUUUUACUACCCCGGGAAGGGUAGAAGGGAGUUUUUCUAAUUAAAGGAACAAUCGAAAUGGGAUUAUUAUUAAAGAAUUGAGAAUCGCCACUUGGAAGAUUUAUGGUGUUCCAAGUCACCGGUAGAAUACCGAAUCGAGGAAAAGAUUGACUCUGUUUAACAAUCUACAAACUAAAAAUCCGGAUAAUAAAUUAUGUUAACCCGGGAGAAGGUGUUAGCCAUUCCCGAGUUUCGUGAUUCUAGCAUGGUCGCUCAACUAUUAUAUUUGGCUUAAUUAUCAAAUUUCAAAACAAUUAUGAACCUAGGUGCAAAUUUUAAAUUUAACCAAUUUUAUCCUUUUUUUAGAGAGAGUUGCAACGUUGUUAAAACACGUCUCAAACCACGUCACAUAAAUUCACCCGUGGCCUUAGACAUAUAUUAACAUCGUUGAGAUUUGAAUUUAGGUCACAUAAAUGCGCACCCAAAUUUAGGAAGGAAAUAUUACUAAACUAACGUGCCUAACGCAAUUUCGUGUUGCAACUUUGCGAGGUCCAUGAAAAUUCGCUUAAUGGCACGAAUCGAUCUCCAAUGCUAAAUACAAGAUUAAUUAAGCGAGGGCCAUGAAAUUUGAGAUUUUACUUAGCACGGCACAUCUCGAUUCUAUUAAAAGAAAAGAAUUCAACUACGUGAACUAUGGAUACUUAUUUUUUAAGAACUAAUUUGAAGAUAGAUAUCACAAGUAAGUCACGGGAACCGCACCCGUAGAUGCGACAAUUUAUUAAUUAUGCCUAAGAAAACAACUCAAAUGGUCAUUAUUCUUUCGCCUGAAUUUCCAAAAUCUCCAGCAGUACUAAUGUAAUAGAUCUCCUUCUAAACAACACCAUUAGAACACCAUGUUAACAAAAUAUACCAAUAUCAUAUUUGGUAGAGCCCAAAAAAUAAUUACAAACAAACUACUACUAAUAUUAAUAUUGAUUCGGCCAUGGAAAACAUUGUAUCACAAUCAACAUAUCUGAAUAAGAACAAAGUAAAGAGAUGCAAUUGAAAUGCCAAAACCAAGCUCACGAAUAACAUGUGAAUCUGCCAUACAGAUAUCAUAUACGACUAAAAUCAGAAAGUAAAAGAUUAAGGUGUAAUGCAUUGUUUGACAUUCAGAGACCCGAACCUAAUCUCUUGUUGCGUUGUAGAAAAGACACCAAAGGAUAUUCAAUACUCCCACCCACGAAAAGAUUGACAACAGAAUGACCAAUAUCAAAUAGCUCAAAUCUGAGCAACUUGACCAUGUUUCAUCUCAAAACUUUAUGACCAACUCAACAUAAUGAGAGAACAGAAUAACAUCAUCAGCAACCCAAUAUAAUCUCACUUAAUGGGGUUUGGGGUGGGUAGUAUGUACGCAGAUCUUACUUCUACCCCUGGGAAAGAGAGGCUGUUUCCAAAUAGACCCCCGGCAUCCUUCCCUCCAAGAACUUCCCACCUUGCUCUUGGAGAGACUCGAACUCACAACUUCUGAGAACAGAACAGUCUUGCCAAAAUCCCAUAUUGAAACACAAAUCAGCCAGAAUUCUAGUAAAACAACAAAUCGACAAACAUUCCAUCUUAAUAAAAAAUUUAGCAAAACAGAUCAGCCAUAACAAAAGGACAAGAAAACACGACCAAACACGACAAAGGAAUCACGAGCAAAGAGUAAAUGCCUCCAGAUUACUACUACUCUCAUUCACCUACACUAACUCAAAUCAAGUUCAAUUUGCAGAUCCAAACCAGGAACCACUUGCAUUUCCAUUUCAAAUUUAUUAAGCUCAAUUUGAACACGAGUCUAAAAGAUAUUCAUUUCUUAAUCGCAUCAAACAACUCCGAGUUAGAACAUCUCAAAUUCAUCACUGAAAUAUCUAAUCCAACAACCAAAUCCAAACAGCAGUAACAACUCAAGGGAAGCAGUCAUGAUUCACAUUAAACAAAAUUUGGAAAAUAUAGACAUAAGAAAAACAUACCCACUUAUGAUAUAAUGAAUUGUAAAAGAAAGGAUAACUCAAAUAAAGCCCAAAUCGGCAAGUUGAAGCUCACGAGAAUAUGAACAACGAGCCUCCAACGAGAGUUUUAACAGGUUCAUAACAGUAAAACAAUGAGGACAGCUUCAAACACUAAAUCGAGUUAAGCACACAAAACGAACUUCAACAUACUCAAGCUAAUCGACUAAUGAACAAAAGACUCCGACAUCUUCUCAUGAGAGCUUAUUCAAACAGAAACCAACAACACCUCAAACUCAUCGCUUCGUACUCACAUUACCAUGUUCAGAACCAAAGCAAAACCAAGACUCAAAUUCCCAGUUUUAGAGCAUCUUAUGCUAACAGUCCAAACAACCAUAACAUGAUAGCUUCACAAACGUUAAGCGAACCAGUCGACUUCAAAUAAUAGUAGUAUGACUUCUUCAAAAAUCCAUACCUUCUCAAUACUGGACAUAUAUCACUACUGAGAAUAGAUACAGGCAACAAGAAAUCCGGUCAUAACAGAAAUAAACCACCCUAGACUGAAUCCCAUAGCUCAAAAAACAUUGAAACAAAACAGAGUUGCAUAGAAAUAAAGAGAGGAAAAUUGAACCUGAAGUUGCGAAUCUUCUUUUAUAACAAUAAUAAACUCGACAAUACAACUCUCAACUCUAAAUCCAAGCAAGGUUCAGCAGCAAAUCAGCAAGAAGACAGGAGAAAACCAAGCUUGAACUUCACGUUUUAUCUCCCGGGAACUUCAAUUUGUAUCUCCGGACCCUUCCAAUCGUGGGAUAAAACUCGAAUUUGAGCGAGUGAGAGGGGAGGGGAAUCUUGCGUCAGAAGCCGUUAGCAAUGGUAAGAGGAGGGAUAGAGGAACGCGUGGAUUAGGAAUUGAUGCUCACUCACCAUGGAUUUCGACAGAAUUUGGGGCUUGGUUCGCGUGUUUUUCGGAGAAGAAGAACAGUGUGCAUUAGAUUUAG